AACCUUCUCUCCAUCCUACUCCCUGCUCCUCCUACAGAGGAGGCCUUCUCUUCCCCUCUCCUCUGGGUGCUUCCUGUCAAUACCCAGACACCCAGGAGUCCCUCCUUGCUUUUGACACAAGACACUCGCGGUUCCUUUUGUACUUUCCCUGCCCCAACCCUGAACUAGGUCAGUUCCCCAGCAGCCCUGGUUGAGCUAGUGGCAGGAGUCGUGAGCAGCCAGAUCCAGGUGCUGCCUGAGUGCUCACUGCCACUGGGGUAUCCCUGAUUCUAGUGCCCACCAGGAGUCAGCUGGUGGGAGCAGAUGUGUCCACGUGCACACACCUAUAUGUGCACACAGCCACAUGGAUAUCCUCAGGUGUCUUCCUAAGAGUGAUGGAGCAUGGAGCACAUUCAGUGCCAGGGGACAAUGGAAAGGCAGAGGGGCAGGGGUUUGGGGCAUUGGCAGGUGGGUCCCAGACUCUGAGGGUCAGAGACUGUCCUCAGAUCCCACAGGGCUGGUGCCACCCAUUAAUUCCCGCCUCAGUCAAGGAUUUAAAGUAGAAAUGAGAAGAGCGAGUGAGUUAGAGGGGACACAGAGGCAGCAGCAAGGCUUCUCUGCUGCUGUGGGACCUUCAGGCCCAGACCCUGCCCUCCUGGGUCUUUGCAUGCCUGGCUCAGGGCCUUGGUCGGGGAGGUCAGACUGGGCAGCACAGGCACUGUUGAGGCUGGGCCCUGAGGCCAUCCAUGCAGUUGGGCCCAGAACCAUGGAGAAAAGCCACACGUGAAGUCACCAGCCCAGUGCUUGCCCCAGCCUUCCCCCUUGGAGGUGCAGCCCCAGGGAUUGCAUGUCAUCUGUAGGCAUUUGGGGUGAUGUGGUACCUUCCCUGAGACUUACCCUACAACCCUGACAGAAAUCCUCAUUUAUGUGUUUAUGGAGGGGGUGUGAGGGGCAAAGUUGAGCCAGGGAGGAGGCUGCCACCUGAUUCUGUCGCCUUCGGAUAUGCACAGUCAGGCCUCUGGCCCUGGGGACAGGUGCCUUAGACCUUGGCCAAACCCACCGGGAACCCUCAGGAGCUUCCAGACUCCAGCCAGGGCCCCUCCCUGCAGAUGAUAAGGAGCCAGCCUUCCCCUUUGUACCUUAGAAGGUCCAAAGGGCCCAGCUUCUGUCCUCCCUGACCUACCCUCCACUUCUUUCAGCCCAGGCCUUUGUAUUUUUUGGUUCAUAUCUGCCACCCAGCCCCCUCCACAGUGGGGCAAAAAUCCUUCAGCCAGGAGCCCAAGGCUUCUCCUGAUCCCUUCCCGCGACACCACCUUCUCCACAAGGAUCAUAGACAUCGGCCUGCCGAGGGCCAGGCCAGCGGUCAGCUGCAGAGCUGAGCAGGGCCCCAGGGUGGAGGCACUGCCCAGGAUCUGGCUUGGCGCCCAGCCUUCUCUCAAAACCCAGGGAGCUUGGAUGUAUAACUCGGAUGCCCCUCCCCCAUCUGCUCUUCAGCAGGAAAUGGUCUAACGGGAAAGUAGGUCUUUUUAAAUCUGAAUUAUUCAAACAAUCUGUGCACGUGACUGGGACCCAAAGCAAGGCCUGGACGCACCCAGGUGCCUCUCUCCAGCCAGGCUUUGAAGGCUCUCUCUCACAGCUGCAGAGUGACUCUCCAUAUCCGGAUACAGUAAGAGGGCAGGAGUGGAGAGGCCACUGCCCCUUUGUCCUGCUGGGUAUCUGUCCCUGUCUUGCUCAACACUGGUCCACCAUGCGGACCUCCACAUUGCCUCCAGGAGGUGAGAUGGAGCCUGGCCCUGCCUCCACACUGCAAGGACAGGGAAGAGCACGUGGUGCCCAGGGGAUGCAGAAUGUAGGUGACCAAGAGGAAAGCUUUAAUUAGUUUCUGCAGGCUACCUAAGGCAGGGUCUGGUGAAGGAACAGGGCCACACUCCGGGGGAGACCACACUCCUCCCUAACCCUUGGCACUCUGCCCAAGUGCACUGGGAAUGGGCAGGACCAAGGCCCUUACCUCAAGAGUCCUGUCCAGCCGCACAGCUGUCAGCUUGCUGGAAGGGAUGAGGAGGAACAUAGGGAGAGCUGGGUGGGCAGCUCUAUGUGGACUGGUUAGUGAGACAGUAAGGGUGUAGACUGGAGAGACCUGGUGGUGAGUGGCCUGCAGACCAGGGGAAGAUGGUGACCAGAUAGGAGUGCCUGGCGAGGUCACAGGUAUGCCUUCAGGAGGAUGCUAUGCAGCAGAGCUAGGGCGGGGCCUCAGGGAGGAGGCCAGUGCUGCCUGUGGGCCCCAGCAGACCUUGAAGGAUCCCUGAAGUCCUUCCCACAAGUACAGGGAGCCAGCGUCUGUCCCCAGCCUCCCAUCCCACUGGCUCCUGACCCUCCUGGUCUCCCACCUCAGCCAUAGACCAGACAUCCCUGUGCAAGGGCACCAAAACAUGGAAGACAGCAGGAAAUCGUGCAGUGCCAGGUGGGGCAGAGGGCAUGUUUCUCCCUCCGCAGAGUUGGACCAGAAGCCUAGGGAAAGUUCAGGCAGCUCCUGGAGGCUGACGGUGUUGCCCAGCCGAGCCGAGACAAGGACUCAGGUGUGCAGCUCAGACCUGGCCAGAGGGGGCUGCCUCUAGGAGCCAGGUGGUAGCUCCUUCUCUGCUUGGCAAGGAAAUGGCUGCCAGCCUCAGGUACCCUCACCCCUGGAAGAGCACCACAGAAGACUCCGAUGUCUGUAGGCUAACCCCAUAAGGACCCCAGACAGCCUCCCUCAGGUUCCUGGGGCCCUGGUGGCAGGGAAGGGAGGGGCCGUAACUAAGGGCUCUGUUGGGUCAAUGUGCAACACCCAGCACAAAGGCAGGAGGUGGGAGAUUGCUGGGUGGCAGAAGCAGCAGCCCAGGUGGUCCCCGCCAGCUUGGUGGCUAAAACCUGGGCUUGGCUCCAGCUGAAGUGCUUCACUGGUGGUUGGCUUUAUAGCUGAGGUUAGUUUGACUAACACCUGCAGCUCUGACUGCCCCCUCUUGGAGCCCUGGGCCUGACUGCAGGGGUGAGGCAUGACCUUGACAAGGUCAGCCAAGGCAUCUCCGAGACACUGGCUUCUCAAAGUGUCCACCUACCUGCAGAGACAAGGGACAGCUGGGAGAACACAGCCCAGGGCCUCUCCUCCUCACCGAGGUCAGGAACCCCCUGGCCUGAGGGGAUACUGGGGUGAAGCCCUGGGGUGCAGCAGGCCCAAGUCUUCCCUCCCCAGGCAUCCUCGGGGGCAUCUUCUGGGGUAGGGGUACUAUGGACCCAAACACAGAUAAAAGGGCAGAGUGGCCACAAGUGGACAGGGAUGCAGGGACAUACACCUCUGCCCACAGGAGGAAGCCAGGUGGGUGGGCAUCAGGGUGUGUAAAAGGGACGGCCCAGAGGUAGCCACCUAGCUAGGCCUUGGGGCUCUGAGCCCUUGGGACAAUUUCUGGGCCCCCAACCUCCUCCCCUACCUCCUGUCACCCGCAGACGCUGGUGUGCUCAGAGGGGCCCCUGGGGCAGGUGAGCGGGGACGUACACACCCUGGGUGACCAGUGCAGGGGACCCGGGCUUCCUACCCACACCUCAGAGCCCUAAGCCUGGAGCAGGUCACACAGUGACUCCAGGAGCAGGGACAAAGGCAGGCAUGGUCCCGAGGGUCAGAACACGGCGCCCAGGAGCCAGCGGGCCGCUCUCAGGGCUGCUGGACCGCUGCAGCCUGGGCUCUGUUGGCCUCCCCGGCCAGCGCCUUCUUCAGGAAGGGAGCUCCAGCUGGUAUGGGGAUUCGCCUCCUGGGAUGGUGCCCUGGGAUUUGGCUCCCCCGACGCCUGCCAGGUAAACAGCUUGUACUUGGGGCGCCAGCUGGGGAGCAGAUAGAUCAGCCCCCAGCUUCCAUGAGGUCUAGUCCACGAGGGGCCUGGCUCAGGGCCCACAGGUGCCUCUGAGAGCAAAGCUUUCCCAAGCCCCUGCCCAUGGCCCUGUUGGGCCCUGUCAGGUAACUGGGCCACCCGGAGGGGGUCCCAGGGCCUCAACCAGAGUGCUCUGGAGCUGCCCUUCACCCAGGAUGUCCGGCAGAACCACCUCCAGUGUUCACCAGGGGUCUGGCCAAGCUCCACAGCCAGAGCACGCCUGCGGGUGUUGAUGCUGCAGUGCACCCGGCCCCUGGACACCGAGCAGGCCUGCCCUUUCCCCUGGGCCUCCAUCCUGGCCACUGUCCUCAGCGCUCUAGGGAUUCCCGCUGGUCACUCCCAGGCCGCUCUGGCCGGCGCUGUACCCCUUUGGCCUGCGCCGACAUCGCAGUGCCCGCCUUUUACUGCUGUGAAUCGAGCUGCGGAGGACACCUGGCCGAGUUCCUGUCUGAACAUUUGCCUCGUCAUGAGGUGGCUCCACGUUGAACGAGGGUCCCACAGCGGCUGCACCGCUUUCCUUCCCAGCAGCGCGAGGGGGCCCAAUGUCUACACAGAUGACCAACUUGUCUCCUUUUAAAAAAGACAAUAGCCAUUCCUGGUGGGCUUGAAGUGGUAUCUCUCCGCGACCAGUAGUGACCUGCAGUAUUUUCCCUGUCUUAUUGGCCAUCCCUGGGUCUUCUUUGGAGCAAUGUCUACUCAAGUCUAUGUUACUCAUCUUUAUGUCUCUGUGACAAAACACCUGGGAAAAUAAACUUAGAGGAGGAAAGAUUUA